rnacentral:lncRNA from 1 species
AACUCAUCCAUAUGUUAACCAAUUUUCUUGCAGAUAAUUAAUUUGACAAAGAUGUUGUCAUUUGAAAACGAAUCGUUAGGUAGUUUUCAAUCACAGUCCAAUUUAAACAGCUUAAUUCAGUUUUCAAUUUCAUUUUAAAUAAAGUCUUGAUAGAAUUGUUUACCUCGAGAACAUUGGUUAACAUGUGAAUGCUCUAUGUUAUAAAGUAUAUGGAGGCUUAAACUGUUUCAUCUAUCCUCUAGUCAUAUAUUUUCCUUUUAUUGAAAUCUGUUAUCAAAGACUUGGUGAAAAUAGAAAAAAAAAUGUGUUCCAAUUUAUUUUAUUAUACUAAAGUGUGAUAUAUUAUUUACGUUUGAAAAUAACCAUUUUUAUAGUUGUUAGUUGAUCAGGAAAUAUUGUUUUUUUUUUAUCUCCUAACAUGGUAAAAAAUGUCUGUCAGGGAUAUUAGCCAUAUAUUUCAUAUCCAUGUUUGUUAUACUGUUAUCUUCAUGUCCCUUUUAUGCAAUUUUUUUACAAAUAUAUUUGACAACUAUUUUAAAAUUUACAAGUUUAAGUAUAAAACAAAAACACUAGUUAAUAGCUUGUUUAACAUGGUCUGUUUUGUUUUGAUUAUAUACAUCAGUGGGAAAAGCUAUUAAGUAUUUUGACCAAAAUCACAUUAUUCUACAUAUUGUGGUUUAUUUUCUUAGGUCUUGGGCAGGAUUCCUUUCCAUGUAGGGUUAAUUUUUUGCAUUAAUUGUUGAAAGAUAGAAACAAAAGUCCUUAGUUUAAUGUAUGUUCUCCCAACAAACCCUAUUAGAAUCAAAUUAUAAAGGAUUAAAUACUCAAAAUAAACAUAAAUAAACUCAUCAUAGAUACCAGGACUAAAUUUUGUAUAUAUGCCAGACGCUUGAAUCCAAAAUUUAAAAGGGCCAAAUAAAGUAUGAAGUUGAAGAGCAGUACGGACCAAAAUUCCUAAAUAUAAAGAAGUCUUUGAAAGAUCAGAUUUAAGUUUUAGGUUUAGUUGAAAGACGUCUCUCUCAACAAGAUAUUGACUACUCAACACUGUUGUACCAUACUUAUAUUGUGUGUUUAAGAUAAGGCUAUGUGUAUGUCUUAAUGAUAUAGUAGGGGGCAUUAUGUUUUCCAGUCUGUGCUUCCAUCAGUCUGUCCAUCCUGUAUCUGGCUGAAGUGCUAGUUUACUUACCAUUAAGUUGCAGUAACAUCAACUUAACCAAAAGUUAUGAACUUUUAAAAUAGAUAAUAAAUAAGGUUUUUGACCCAUAUUUCACAGUUCAGUGUAAUCACACUGGACAUGGAAAUAUGAUAUUGUUAAAAAGGAUGAUGUCCUAUGGACAUAUUUUUUUUAAAUUAAAAGAUAAUUAUAAUAGUUCAACAAAUAGUUAAGACUUCUGUAGUAUAAAUAUUGCUUUAAAUGGUAAUCAGAAGUCACAUAAUUCAUGUGUUUUAUACAUGAAUGUUACCAGGCCAGUUACAGAAAUAGGUAAUUCAUAAUAUUAUCAUUGCUAUCCUUGGCAGACAUAAGAUUUUUGUCCUUGCUUUCAUUGGUGAAUUUAAUCUCAAACUUCUUUUUUAUGUAGAAAACCAUUGUAAAUAUCAUACUCUAUAAAAGUAGAAAAUUUUUUUUUUCAUGAAUGUUGAUUCAUACUUGUAUAUGAAUGAAUAUAGUCUAGUCAAGUCAUCAGAAUUCAUGAUGUAAAUACAUAUAGAUCAUAAGUAUUAGAAAAGAAUGAAAUUACAUUUAAAAAAAUCAUUGUCAGUAUAGUUUCAAAAUUGAAGGAAUGCAUGAAAGAUCCAAAUAUGGAUUAUUUUAAUGUGUAUAUAAGAAAAUAUUUAUUGUAAUCAUUCAAAGGAAAUUGAUAUCGAAACGUAUUGAAAAAAUUAAAAAAAAAAUGUUAAAAAGGAAAAAAAUAGAAAAAUAAAAAAAGAAGAAAAAAUUCAAAAAAAAAAAAAAAAUAAAAAAAUCAUAAAAAAAUCAUAAAAAAAUCAUAAAAUAAAAAAAAUAAAAAAAAAAAAUAAUAAUAAAAAAAAGAAAUAAAUAGAAAAUGAUAAAAAAAAAAAAAACCACAAUGUCCCAGUAAAUACAGAAAAUCUGUAUGACCAGGUUGUUUCAUGAAUAAACAAAGGGUGCAUAUGAUUGGAAAUGGACAUUUGGUAAUUAUUGUCGGUAUUGCAGUGUACUAUUUCCUGUAGCCUGUAGUUACUGAAUAAUAAUUAUCAACUAUUGCCUUUUCUUGCUAUCAUCCUUUUGAUAUAUUUCUGAAAUGAACAUUUAUGUAAGCAAGUUAAAAAUGUGAUAUAAUCAUAAAAUUGUAAAAAAAAAAAAAAAAUUAAAAAAAAUUAAAGUAAAAAAAGAAAUAUAUGAAAAUUAAUUGCAAAUCCCACAUAACAGACACUGUUAUAUGAACAUGAUACCCCUAUUAAAUUUACUGAAUUAAAUUCACCAUUGAGAGUAUGGACAAUUAUCAUGAGUUUUUGUUUGAGUGUGAACCUUACCAUUCCUUUUUUGUCAUUGAGAGAUAAAUUGUAUGAAAUUUUCUUCUGAUUUGAAGUUACUUUGAAGAGUUUAUAUUAUUAUUGAAAAGGAAUAUAAAAUUUUUAUUUUAAUCAUUUUACAGGAUACAGAUAAGAUAUACAUAACUUGGAAGAAAAGCAUUCUUAUAAAAGAUCUUACAUUUCAAUAGUUUAACUUUGCUUUUGUCUUAUUGUAUUUAAAAUGAUUUCAUUGCUGUUACGAAUCCGUCCAGAGUACAUCAAAUGAACAAAAAUCCAUUGCAUGUACAUGUAUUGAAAGUUUCAAUAGUUAAACUUGUGUGUUAAGCCACAUAUCAUUUUAAUUUUAUGGAGUGUGUUAGACUUGCAUGUUGAUGUGGAAAAGUGUUUGUUUGAAUAUGUCUGUGUUAUUAAAAUGUAAGGAUAACAGCUAUUGAACAUGUAAAUACUUUAGAAUUCCUUGUUUUAAGACAUGACAACAAUGCUUUCCUUCCCUGUCUAAUUAUUUUUUUCCUGUAAAUGAAACAAGUUGCUUUGAAGGUUAAUAAAAAAAAUAUAUCACUUCAAAGUAAGAUGACCAAAAAAUAAAGAAAAAAUAUCCCCAAAGAAAAAAUCUCAAAAAAGGUUUUAGUAAUAAAUUUAAGAAACUCUUCAAAGUAAUGAACAGAUUUCAUAGAGUGGCUUGCUUUUGCUUGCAUAUUUUCAUUAUAUUGACUGCCAUUUUGACUGUACUUAGAUUUUGUUUUGUUUUAAGAGAAGGGUUGAAUGUAUGUGUGCACUUUUUGUUCCUUUGGUCAUAUUUAUUUACACAAUAGCUUUACAGAUGGCAUUAAGAUUUUGUUAAAUUAGAUAUAAAGGAUAUAUAUAUUUUAUAUUUAUUUUGUUUUUUUUAGUUUUGCAUUUAACAGAUAUGAAUCUAGCAGUCUACUUUAUUAAAAAAAAUCACAUCGAGUGUAAUUCCUAAAACAUGUUUGUCAAAAUAAAUCACUGAUAACUCUAAAAAAAAAAAAUAAGUAUGCUAUUGUGAAAACUACCUUUGAACCAGCAGAUUCAUCUCUUCUCACAACUGGUCAAAUAAAUUUGCUUGCUACAAGUUAUUAAAACCUUUACAUAUACAUCAGUGAUUCUUGUUAUUAAUCUAGAUGUUGAUUCACUUAUUAUGGCCACUGUUAUUUGGGUGUACCAUAUCUAGAUGUUGAUUCACUUAUUAUGGCCACUGUUAUUUGGGUGUACCAUAUCUAGAUGUUGAUUCACUUAUUAUGGCCACUGUUAUUUGGGUGUACUAUAUAAAAGAUGUAUGAAAGUACAGUAAUGUUUGAUAGUGCUGUUCCAGUUAACUUACCAUUGCACUUGUUAUAGUCUUACAAACUUGUGUAAAUAUUUGUUGAUUUUUUCAAAUCACUCAAUAAAACAUGAUAAUCUAGAAUAUUUAACCCUCUGUUAUAUGGAUUCAUUGUUAUAUUGUAUUUGUUUGGUUUUUUUUUUUUGUUAAAAGCCUGUAGCUUUUUUUGUGGGCAUGAUUCAUCAUUCCAAUUUUUUUUUUUCAACUUGUCAUAUUUUUUUCUAAAAUACUGUAUUUACCAUUAUGUAAGCCACUCUUCUUAUCAAUAUCCCCUUUCAAAAUUUUUGGAGAAAAAUUGAAAAAGUAUUAAUUUUUUAUCUAAGAAAACAACCACACAAAUCAUUUCAAUGUAUAAAUUGUAGCUUGGUAAUUAUUCUUUAUACUGUUGCAUCUGUUUAGCAUUUUUUUGUUAAACAUAAAUAUGAUCUAUCAAAGCACAGCUACCCUACACUUAAAAAAAUAAAUGCUUGUAUAUUUGAUUUCCAUUAUUUGUUUACACUCCCCCUUUUUUCUAAAAAAAAAAAAAGGCUUAUAAUUUGGUACAUACAGUAUUGAGCAUAGUAAAUGUAUCUUCAGUCUAUUUUUUAAAGCACUAUAUCUGUCACUAUGAAGAAAUGUCAUAUGUUGUUUUUUUAUCUACAAAGAAAGAAUUGUUAGGUUGAUACCAAACUCUUUUCAAAUGAAAAGAAAGCAAUAUUUCUAUUCAAAUGAAAAGAAAGCAAUAUUUCUAUAGGAAAUAAAAACUUUAAUUAAUUUUAUUCCUUCUUAAAUUUGGUCCAAUUAAAAAGAUUGGCUUCUAUGCUGUAAUGAGAAGAAGUUACAAAAAGUACAUUUUUUUUAAAUUUAGUAAACCCAUUUUUAGAAGAAGAAGAAACACUUCUUGCAUAUGCACCUUUACUGUACUGUUAAGUUAUGUUACUCUUUAUACAUGUAUCAUACUUCUAUAUGUGCCAAUAAAUGAAAUAUGAGAAUGUAAAAACAAAUUAAGAUUGCAGUUUUUGUAUACUAUAGAUCAUCCCAGUUUUUUUAAGUUUUGUUAUUUUUAAUGUUCAACUCUUUCGAGGACAUUGCUACAUAUUUGCAAAUAAAUGACAGAAAGAGUUUAUAUAAUUUAAGUAAAAGUUAAUCUUGUGGAAGGAAUGCUAUUUAAAUGAUAAUAAUCUAUACAAACUAUAUUAUUUGAUCAGUGUGAUUAUACUUCACAGAUGUCAACUAUUUUUGUCUGACCCUCUUUAAGGUGGUACCCAACACUUUCAUUAAAAUUAAUUUGGCUCCUUUAAUUUUCAUAAAAUUUUGUCAAAGUAUUUACUUUGAGACUAAUAAAAAUAUUAAAAUUUAAAAAAUUUUGAACCAACCGUUUUGUCAGAAAAAAUACACUGGUUAAAUAGCAAUUUGACAAACACCAAUUUUGAUUAUUGAGAAGCUUAAUAUUCCUUUUACAAUACACCGUAAUUAAAACGUUUAGCUGACUUUACAGGGUUAUCUCCCUGUAGUGUUAGGUACCACCUUAACAUUCCAAUUUGAUUAUUUUUGAGUAUUCCUAAAGGUUAAUCUAUAAAAGCCCUUUGAACCAAUGUUAUCAAGGAAUUGUUUUAUUUUCAAAACUAUGAUUAAUUGAGAUUUUUUUCUGUUUUCAGGCAUUUUUUUUCUUUCCAAAUUCUUUCUUAAUAUGUCUAAAACAUAGUCAUUUCAUAAAAAGAAAAGUUCCCUUAUAUACACUGUCCCGUGUUAUUUAUUGAAAACAACACUUUUUGCAUUUCAUGAUUAAUUGAUAUUGCUUUUUGUACUGGUAAAAUUCGUCUUAGAUACCAGGUUUGUAACUUGAAUUUAAUUUUCUGAAAGAAAAAAAAAGAAAAGAAAAAGUAGUCAACAUAAUGAUUUUCAAAGAACAACCAUAUUUAUUGUUAAAAUCAGGAAUGUAAUGCCCCUUGACUACUAGAACUUCUAUGAAACAGUUAUUUUAGGGCAUUCACCAAUAAAUAUGAGAAUGAAUCUCUUAAGAACAACUUUGUUUUUAUAAUAUCAAAGGAAAGCCAUUUAUUUUAACAGUAUUAUAUAUUUUUUUCCAUUAAGAACAUGGAGCCAAAUUGUUAGUAAAGAUAUUAGCACCACAAAUAAAUUGUGGCAUUACACAAAUGUGACAUGCAAAUUGUUAACAGUAAACUUUGGAAAAAGAUAAAAAGGCUAUAGUAGGGUAGAAUCUCGUAACUUGUUAACUUGUAUGUAUAAAAGGACAAAUUAGACAAAAAGACUUGACUUUAAUUGAUGCACACAAUUUGUUUAUUAUUUUUAUGACAAGUGCUUGUAUUUUGCACUUUGAUUUUAAUAUAGUUGGUUUACAUAGGUCAGUUAGUAGAACAAGUCUCGAUAUUAAUAAAAUCCUAGAGUUAAUAGCACAAUUUGAUUGUCAAAACUGUACUUUAUAUUCAGUUAACAAACCACAUCAUUAAACAUACAAAAACAAAUUUUAGAUAGAUUUUUAUUUUUUAUGAAAUCCCAAUUUGUUUUUAAUUAAAAGUUCCAAAUAGGAAAUAUAUCAUCCCUGUUUAAAAACUUUCUGAAUAGUUAAUAUAUUUACUACUUGAAUACCAAGUACAGAGAAAUGAUAAUUGGGCUGUUGUUUGUUUUGUAAAUGUUUACAAAGAUUUGAAACAUAUUGUUACCUUAGUACUAGGAACAUAUCUUUGAGAAGUAUAGUUAUGCAUAUUUUUUGUUAGCUUAAUAUCAGCAUUGUGUAUGCAGUUCAUUUAAGCUUAUUGUUGUUGUAUCGCAUAAGGAAAAGGAUAUUAUUUUUCUAGGAGUUUUUUUUAUUGAGAUAGAAAAGUUAGACUUGAUGUAUCCCACUUUUUUACAUUCCUGUGUGUGAUUUGAAGUGUUUAUUUUUGUCUGCACAAUAUAUUCCCAUGCAAAAUUCCUUUUUCAUCAUCAUUAUUCCAUGUUCAACAUUAAACUUGCGAAUGGAAAUCCAUGAAUACUGAAUUUAAAUGAAAAAAUAAUCCCCAGGAUUUUACAAAAUUAGAUUUCUUUUUUUUACUAGCUGAAAACAUUUAUUAACAAGUUCCCGUCAAAUAUUGUAAAUGGAAUAAAAAAAAAAGAUAAUCAUUAAUAUUCUGAGUUUCUUUUACAGUCAUUUAUUUAUCUUUGUUUAAUAUUUUUUUGUUCCUUUUAACAAAUUUCAUAAAGAUUUAUUAGGGUAAAAAAUAAGUUUUGUUUUUAAUUUUUUGUUUGCUUGCUAUGUAUGUUUAAAGAGUUUAAUUUGGUAAGGACAUGAGCAAAUGGAUUGGGGUUGCAACCUUCUUCAGUUGAUUAUUUUUAGUAAUGUUUUUUGGAAAAAGCUCGAUCACCUCAAUACAUUAAUUUUUGGAAAAGUCUUUAUUAUUGAAAAUUCUUAUGACUUGUUAAUAUAGUCCGUCAAAGACACAUUAGAGAAGUUAAUUAAAACUUUGGUGCAUGAAGAAUUUUUUUUAUAACGUUCAUUGAUGUUUUAUUAAAAGUUGUUUCAAUGUAAUUGGAACAUCCCCAUUGGUACAUUUAUAAUUUAUUUUUAAAUAUUUUUUACAUGCACAUCUGUUAUAGCCCGUUGUUAUUAAUGUAAUGUUUCUGUUAUUGUUAGUAUUUAUAUUAAAACAAUGCCACCAAACCAUGCAGAAAUUACUGAAUCCCGAACAAAACACUUUGGAAAUAAAACAAUCUGAUUUAAUGGUAAACGAUUUGCAGUAAAUAUGUAAUGAACAAAUUCAGCCUCAAAACAGACAAUUUGUCUUUUUAUCUUCAAUUGUUGUUUAAAUGUACUGUCAGAAUGUGACUUAUUCACUAAUCUGUUCACUUAAUUAUCAAAGUGUCAAAACAGAUUAUAAACAUAACUUUUUUUUCCUUUUUCCAACAUGUUUUGAAAAUGUGAUUUCAACUUUUAUGUGAUUGUGAUGAAAUUGAGUCAUUUUUUAUGAAAUGUAUUGACAAAACAAUAGCUUGAGUAAAUACAAAACAAUAGCCUAAGCAAAUAUUUUUUUCUACAAUUGAAAGGCUCCAUGUAUAUGAAAUGAUCUCAAUGAAAGCAAAAUCCAUAGCUUCUUCUGGGUCCAUCUGUGAUGAAGAGGUUCUAAAUCAUAUCAUUAUCUUAGGCAGCAUCCAGUACCUCAUUACCCAUACUUAGGAAAUUGCAUGGUUUGAUAUAUAUUUUGUGUGCAUUUUUGUCAAGACAGAAUUGCUACAACAGUCAACUGUUCAAUAUUAAAAAUGGAGCUUGUCACAGAAAUGUAUUUGUUUUUGUUGUUUUUUCAAUGCCUGUCUAAUAAACUUCCUGUAUAAUAUCAGUUAAGUAUAAAUGUACAAGGACAGUUACAAAAAUAAUAUUAAUUUAUUCUACAUGGAAAAUACUACAUGUGUAUUUGUCAUAAAUUUAAAGAGUAAUCCAACAGAAAAUCUUCAGUGUUAACAUGUGAGGAUCAUUCACUGUGAAAAAACAGAUAGUAUCUUCUUGAGCAUGCCAAGCUCUUGACUAGGCAAUGAAACUUGACUGGAAAACUUUUAACAUAUUUGAAAAUUCUAAGUAAGAACAGAUUUGAAUAUUCUGAAUAAGAACAUGCAAUUAUUUUACACUGGUACAUUCUUAAAGUUGAUGCUGUAUUAAUGUAAAAAAGAUUUUUGAAAGAACAUAUGAAUAUCUCCAGACAGAAUAUACUUGACAUUCAUAACCCUAUUCUGUAUAGGGGAUUUAUCAUAGCCAAACAAAAUUUACUAUAUAGAUAUCAGAAAAAGAGGAAAAAGUACAUGUACAUUUGAAUGACAAACAAGGGAAAUCAAUGUAUACCAAAAAACAAAAAAAUACAAAGAAUGCCACGACUGGUUUUAAUUAAUAGUAAAACCAGCAGCAAAAAGGAGUGAUACCAAAUGGUCUUAAAAAAAAACACCAUAAUGUCCCGAGUAGUCAAGGGUAAUGAUUGGAACAGUUCCACCGGGUAAAAAUCAGUCAAAUCAUUUAUUUAUGAAGAAAGAACAUCUAACAUAACCUGGCUGCCAUUCAAACAAUAGUGAUUCCUGUGUUCAUCAAACAGUUGACUGUUAGAAGUGAUAUGAAAAAUACUUGUGCAUCAAUAUUCGAUUGCAGUUAAGUAUAUCAAUCAAAACUGAUAUAUAAGACAAAGUAAAAAAGAAUACCAAGGCUAAUUAAAAAAAAGUUAGUCAUGAGCACUGGUAGUUCAUCAGUUAAAAAUCGCUGGAAAUAUAUUCCAGUGAUAAACUAUUACAAUUAUCCACUGGAAUACUUUUCUGCAUAUUUAUUUAGCAUAUUAAAAUAACA